AUUGAACGCUGGCGGCAUGCUUUACACAUGCAAAUCGAACGGUAACAGGCCUUCGGGCGCUGACGAGUGGCGAACGGGUGAGUAAUGCACCGGAACGUGCCCAGUCGUGGGGGAGAACGCAGUGAAAGCUGCGCUAAUACCGCAUACGAGCUAUGGCUGAAAGCGCGGUACCUUAAUACCUCGCGCGAUUGGAGCAGCAGAUGUCAGAUUAGGCAGUUGGUGGGGUAAAGGCUCACCAAGCCGACGAUCUGUAGCUGGUCUGAGAGGACGACCAGCCACACUGGGACUGAGACACGGCCCAGACUCCUACGGGAGGCAGCAGUGGGGAAUUUUGGACAAUGGGCGCAAGCCUGAUCCAGCAAUGCCGCGUGCAGGAAGAAGGCCUUCGGGUUGUAAACUGCUUUUGUACGGAACGAAACGGCUCUGGUUAAUACCUGGGGCUAAUGACGGUACCGUAAGAAUAAGCACCGGCUAACUACGUGCCAGCCGCCGCUGUAAAAC
rnacentral:rRNA from 1 species